rnacentral:rRNA from 1 species
UCGGGGACAUUGGUGACAGGUGGUGCAUGGUUGUCGUCAGCUCGUGUCGUGAGAUGUUGGGUUAAGUCCCGCAACGAGCGCAACCCUUGUCUUUAGUUGCCAUCAUUAAGUUGGGCACUCUAGAGAGACUGCCAGGGAUAACCUGGAGGAAGGUGGGGAUGACGUCAAAUCAUCAUGCCCCUUAUGCUUAGGGCUACACCCGUGCUACAAUGGGUAGUACAGAGGGUUGCCAAGCCGUAAGGUGGAGCUAAUCCCUUAAAGCUACUCUC